rnacentral:rRNA from 1 species
GGCCUAACACAUGCAAGUCGAGCGGUAACAUUUCUAGCUUGCUAGAAGAUGACGAGCGGCGGGACGGGUGAGUAAUGCUUGGGAAUAUGCCUUUACGUGGGGGACAACAGUUGGAAACGACUGCUAAUACCGCAUAAUGUCUUCGGACCAAAGGAGGGGACGCUUCGGCACCUUUCGCGUAUUGAUUAGCCCAAGUGGGAUUAGCUAGUUGGUAAGGUAAUGGCUUACCAAGGCGACGAUCCCUAGCUGGUUUGAGAGGAUGAUCAGCCACACUGGGACUGAGACACGGCCCAGACUCCUACGGGAGGCAGCAGUGGGGAAUAUUGCACAAUGGGCGAAAGCCUGAUGCAGCCAUGCCGCGUGUGUGAAGAAGGCCUUCGGGUUGUAAAGCACUUUCAGUUGUGAGGAAGAGUUAAGGGUUAAUACCCCUUAUCUUUGACGUUAGCAACAGAAGAAGGACCGGCUAACUCCGUGCCAGCAGCCGCGGUAAUACGGAGGGUCCGAGCGUUAAUCGGAAUUACUGGGCGUAAAGCGUACGCAGGCGGCUUUUUAAGCCAGAUGUGAAAUCCCC